UAUUUCUUGGUAAUAAUAAUUAUAUAUUUAUAUCGCACUCAUCAUCCAUGCAAACAUAUUUUUGAAAGCGAGAAGAAUAUUUUUGUUCAAAUUACUAAGUAUAUAAGUUAUAGGUACGAACAACAAAUUGUACCCAAACAUCCUGUUAGAGAGUAUUGUAAAAAUAGAUAGAAAUACCUACAAUAUUCGGCCAAUUAGCAGUUUUGUAUAUUAGACAUUUAUAUACGUUUGUACAUUUUUAUCUAAAUAGCUGCAGCUCGACCAUACUGUAUCGUCUGAUCAGUGCUCGCUCGAUCGCUGAUAUUAUUGAUAAUAUCAUACUUAUUAUCUAUUAAUAAUAAUAAUAUACAUUGCCAUUGGUGUUUCUGCGUUGUUGUCGAAAAAAAAAUUUAAUUUUCAUUCCGAUUACUGAUUAAACAUCCCAUAGUUUUGCUUAAUGUUUCCAAGACGAACGUCCCGUCACCACGCCGCUCCGGUCCAAAUACUGGAAAUAACAGAACCUAAACGGAAUUUGGAAAUAUGUUAUUUUUUUUUACAAUUUUGUUUUUCGUCGUUCAACUCUCCCAGAAACAUGUGUGAAGAGGAUUUCUUGAAAACACCAAAUCGCGUACACACGGCAUAUUAUAUGCGCGCCAAGCCGGAUGGAGUUAUAAUCAUGCCAUGCCUACGCGUUUUCACGCACAAUACCAAAAUGAACGAGCCUCAGAAACGUCGUACCCGCAUGUGUUGUCCUCGUCUUAUUAACGCCUUACAUACCAAAACUUACUUAAUAUUUUCAACUUAAUGUUGUAAGCUUAAAUGUUUGAGUGAACUAAUCUAUUAUAAAACUUAAAGCGUCCAACAAUACUAUUUGUAGUUAUUUCAGUAUCGCACAAUAGUUUCCAUGCAUUGACUUAAUAAUCUAACACUAACCAACUAAUAGGAGAUACAUAGGUAUAUAGGGAGGUGCUGAAACAUCCACAAGCUCUAAUUCAGCACCUCAGUUCAAAAACAUCAACAAUUGAAAAGUAGUCGAUUUAAGAAUAUUGAAUACUGCACCAUUUCACCAGGACCUAUCAGUGCAGUUUUGCUUAUUAUUUGCAAGUUAUCGGGUCAUGGAAACAUUUAAUACCUACUUACAGAAAAUUUAAGUUUUCAAGACUCGUCUAUUGACUAAACUGAAAAUGGUUCAGCUUAAUAAACAAAUCGCCUCCACGGAUGGUCGCUUAUACAAACAUUAAAAAAAAAGUCCAAAGGUGUCGGAUUUGAUAAGUAUUGCACGAAUAUUUUACGUGCACUGUCGUCGUAAAAAUAAAAAAGAAAAAAUGUUAACUGACCAACAAGUACACGUAGUCAAAGAAUCGAAAAAAAGCAGUCAAGCCAUAAGAAGCGCAGAUCAAGUACACAUCACGCGCCGUGGACAGCUAAUAUGGACAGCUAAUAUGGAACGUUUUCACAUAAGUAUCCCAGCCGGACACGCUGAUCGCCCCAUACAUAGUAUUGGC